UACGUAGGGUGCGAGCGUUGUCCGGAAUUAUUGGGCGUAAAGGGCUCGUAGGCGGUUUGUCGCGUCGGGAGUGAAAACCUACAGCUUAACUGUGGGCUUGCUUUCGAUACGGGCAGACUAGAGGUAUGCAGGGGAGAACGGAAUUCCUGGUGUAGCGGUGAAAUGCGCAGAUAUCAGGAGGAACACCGGUGGCGAAGGCGGUUCUCUGGGCAUGAUCUGACGCUGAGGAGCGAAAGCCAGGGGAGCAAACGGG
rnacentral:rRNA from 1 species